rnacentral:rRNA from 1 species
AAAGGAAUAGACGGGGGCCCGCACAAGCAGUGGAGUAUGUGGAUUAAUUCGACGCAACGCGAAGAACCUUACCAGGGCUUGACAUCCUACUAACGAGGCAGAGAUGCGUUAGGUGCCCUUCGGGGAAAGUAGAGACAGGUGGUGCAUGGUUGUCGUCAGCUCGUGUCGUGAGAUGUUGGGUUAAGUCCCGCAACGAGCGCAACCCUUACGGUUAGUUGCUACGUUAAGAGCACUCUAGCCGGACUGCCGUUGACAAAACGGAGGAAGGCGGGGACGAUGUCAAAUCAUCAUGCCCCUUACGUCCUGGGCUUCACACGUACUACAAUGGCGGACAUACAACGGGUAGCGACAUAGCGAUAUGAAGCCAAUCCCUAAAAAGCCGCCUCAGUUCGGAUUGCAGGCUGAAACCCGCCUGCAUAAAGUCGGAAUUGCUAGUAAUCGCGGAUCAGCAUGCCGCGGUGAAUACGUUCCCGGGCCUUGUACACACCGCCCGU